CAAACGACUCUCGGCAACGGAUAUCUCGGCUCUUGCAUCGAUGAAGAACGUAGCGAAAUGCGAUACUUGGUGUGAAUUGCAGAAUCCCGUGAACCAUCGAGUUUUUGAACGCAAGUUGCGCCCGAGGCCAUUAGGUCGAGGGCACGUCUGCCUGGGCGUCACAC
rnacentral:rRNA from 2 species